ACGCUUUAGGUUGCUAACAAGUAGGGGCAGGCGCGUCCAAUGACGUCAGGCGCGCCUGGUAGUCUGCGCACGCGCUUUGCCAGGACAAGGGCAAAUCUUUCGGUUUCGUCACAGGUAAGAAAGUAAACACGAAAGGAUGGUGUAAAGUGUGCAGCAACUCUGCUUGGGAAAACCAUGAGAAAUUGGAAGCUCAUAAUUGAGGUCCUUGGUGCAAAACUGCAGAAACACAGCUAAUCAUUGGUCAAGCGAGCUUGACUUUGCCUCGGCUCAGAAUUUCUGGUGACUUGGGAAGAUGACGGUGUAGGAGGAUGCUGGGCUCACCACGUCCUGCAGAUCACUUAUUUUCCACCUACACCUGCCUAAAUAACCCAGAAAACCGCCAGAAGACUAGCAGAACGGAUUCUCUGGAGCCAAGUGCAGACGAGAGGACCACGGAAGAGGAGGACUGAGAUGUGUGGAUCUGGGCUGUGUGGAACUUGGUUCAAACAUAUGAUUCGAGGGAAAAAAUAUCCAAUUCAUCACUGUAUGCUCUUUGGGUUUCAGACUACUGAAUCUUAUAGCUCAUGCAAAGACUCUGCCCAGAGAGCCUAACAGAGAGAAAGCACAAGCUGGGGAGCGGCAGAGACGGAGAGGGAGACAGGAACCAAACCGGG